AGGACGAACGCUGGCGGCGUGCUUAACACAUGCAAGUCGAGCGGAAAGGCCCUUCGGGGUACUCGAGCGGCGAACGGGUGAGUAACACGUGAGUAAUCUGCCCCUAGCUCUGGGAUAGCUCCGGGAAACCGGGAUUAAUACCAGAUACGACCACUUUAGACACCUGUUGUGGUGGAAAGAAUUUUGGCUAGGGAUGAGCUCGCGGCCUAUCAGCUUGUUGGUGAGGUAACGGCUCACCAAGGCGACGACGGGUAGUCGGCCUGAGAGGGCGACCGGCCACACUGGGACUGAGACACGGCCCAGACUCCUACGGGAGGCAGCAGUGGGGAAUAUUGCGCAAUGGGCGAAAGCCUGACGCAGCGACGCCGCGUGGGGGAUGAAGGCCUCGGUUGUAAACCCUUUCAGCAGGGACGAAGCGAAAGUGACGGUACCUGCAGAAGAAGCGCCGGCUAACUAACGUGCCAGCAGCCGC
rnacentral:rRNA from 1 species